rnacentral:lncRNA from 1 species
AGAGUACAAUGCUAAGUACAGCCUCCUCUUUGCUCCUCCCAGCAUAUGCCCCUCCCCAAAGAUAACCAUUGACUUCUAGUGACAUCGAUUAACUUUGCCUGUUCUUGAACUUUAUAUAAAAGUGAACUUUUUUGUUGUGCUUGGCAUCUUUCACUCACUGUUCCGUCUGUGAGUUUUGCCUAUGUUGUUGUGUGCAGCCAAGGGUCAUUCUUCAUUGCUGCAUAGUAUUCCAUCAUGUGAAUGCACCACAGUUGACUUGUUCAUUUUUCUGUGGAUGGAUAUGUGUGUGAUUUCCAGUUUUUAAAUAUGGUGACCAUUCUUGUCUAUGUCUUUGGGGGGACACGGGCUCUCAUUUCUUUUGAGUAUAUACUCAGGAGAUAGAUACUUCUUUUGAAAUUCUGCGACCAUUCCUGGAAGUCAGUAUAACAAUAGGAUCUAUCCUUUGUGUCUUUAACAUGAGCAGAUUCAACCAUGUGAGCCGGCAAGAACAAGAGUUUUUGUUUGUGAGGGUGAUACUUCUAGCCACUUCAUGUGACAAGCAUCUUCCAGGGUGAGGAUGAGAAGGAAGGGGGUCCCCCGCCUUCUCAGACUGCAGCAUUGACCAGUGGUCUCCUGCCCCGCAGCCGUCCCUGCCCACCCUCAGGCCUCUCCCUCUGCAGGCUGUCCAGUGCCUUUGCAGGGUCUAUGGGUUGGUCUUUUUAACCAUGUGAAUAUCUUCUUCAAAAUUAAAUUAAAAUUCACUUGUUAAGAAAAAAAAAACAAAACAGAAAAAGGAAUUUAUGCAGUUCAAAGUUCCUAAUGUAAAUGGAAGUUUUCUCUAGUUCUUCUCAGAGGCCCGUGAGGUUACCAGCCUGUGUAAAACUGCCAGGGAGUCUCUGCCUCUGCCAGUGUAGAGAGGAGUGGCCUUUGCAUGUGUUCCUUUACACAGAGGGACCCACACUGGACUCCUGUGUGGCACUGAGAUUCGUCCCCACUUAACAGAGUGGAUCAAGGAUCAUCCCAGGGUCUCAUAUCCACUAUUCAGACUCGCAGGUCCUUUUUACAGGCUCAAAGUUUUUCAGAACGUGGAAUUGAUUUAAAUAUAACCAGCCCAGGCGUUUCCGUUGUGGCUCGGCGGUAACAAACCCGACUAGUAUUUAUGAGGUUGCGGGUUCGAUCCUUGGCCCCGCUCAGUGGGUUAAGGAUCCAGUGUUGUCAUGAGCUGUGGUGUAGAUUACAGAUGUGGCUCAGAUCUGGUGUGGCUGUGGCGGUAGCAUAGGCCGGCAGCUACAGCUCCCAUUCGACCCCUAGCCUGGGAACUUUCAUGUGCUGUAGGUACAGCUGUAAAAAGAAAAGGAAAAAAAAAAAA